rnacentral:rRNA from 1 species
GUAUUAGCUAGAUGGUGRGGUAACGGCUCACCAUGGCAAUGAUACGUAGCCGACCUGAGAGGGUAAUCGGCCACAUUGGGACUGAGACACGGCCCAAACUCCUACGGGAGGCAGCAGUAGGGAAUCUUCCACAAUGGACGAAAGUCUGAUGGAGCAACGCCGCGUGAGUGAAGAAGGGUUUCGGCUCGUAAAACUCUGUUGUUAAAGAAGAACAUAUCUGAGAGUAACUGUUCAGGUAUUGACGGUAUUUAACCAGAAAGCCACGGCUAACUACGUGCCAGCAGCCGCGGUAAUACGUAGGUGGCAAGCGUUGUCCGGAUUUAUUGGGCGUAAAGCGAGCGCAGGCGGUUUUUUAAGUCUGAUGUGAAAGCCUUCGGCUCAACCGAAGAAGUGCAUCGGAAACUGGGAAACUUGAGUGCAGAAGAGGACAGUGGAACUCCAUGUGUAGCGGUGAAAUGCGUAGAUAUAUGGAAGAACACCAGUGGCGAAGGCGGCUGUCUGGUCUGUAACUGACGCUGAGGCUCGAAAGUAUGGGUAGCAAACAGGAUUAGAUACCCUGGUAGUCCAUACCGUAAACGAUGAAUGCGAAGUGUUGGAGGGUUUCCGCCCUUCAGUGCUGCAGCUAACGCAU